CGCAUCUGUGCAUGCAGCAUAUCAAUAAGCGGAGGAAAAGGAAACUAACAAGGAUUCCCUUAGUAACGGCGAGUGAAGCGGGAAGAGCUCAAAUUUGAAAUCUUCAAGGUUUUACCUUGACGAAUUGUAGUUUAAAGAAGUGUUUUCUGCUGAAGUUUUGGUAAAAGUUCUUUGGAAUAGGACAUCAUAGAGGGUGAGAAUCCCGUAUUUGACCAUUAUUUUCAGCUUUGUGAUACACUUUCAAAGAGUCGGAUUGUUUGGGAAUGCAGUCCAAAAUGGGUGGUAAAUUUCAUCUAAAGCUAAAUAUUGGCGAGAGACCGAUAGCGAACAAGUACCGUGAGGGAAAGAUGAAAAGAACUUUGAAAAGAGAGUUAAACAGUACGUGAAAUUGUCAAAAGGGAAGCGUUUGACACCAGUGUUGUUUUCUCGAAAAUCAAUUAAAAAUGGCUCGAUUUUGUAUUGCUUGAGACCUUAAAAGCUCACUGUACAUUUUUCGUGUCUUUUUUAAUGCACUUUUCGUUUAACAAGUCAACAUCAGUUUCUUUUGUUGUAAAAGGGUCAUUGGAAGGUGGCUUUCUUUUCGGAGAAAGUGUUUAUAGCCUUUGGCCUCUGCAAUCGAAGAGACUGAGGUCUGCAGCGUAGACUCUUCGGGGUUAGAUACAUUUGUGCUAAGUUAUAGCUUUUUAUAGACAACUUGUUGACUAUAAUUAGUCUUGUAGCUUACUCGCUUAUGCUAUUUUACCUACGCUUAGGAUGUUGAGUCGUAGAGCACGCAG
rnacentral:rRNA from 1 species